rnacentral:rRNA from 1 species
AGUCGAGGGGCAGCGGGGGUGAUGGCUUGCCAUCGCCUGCCGGCGACCGGCGCACGGGUGAGUAACACGUAUGCAACCUGCCCGCCACAGGGGGAUAAGCGGAAGAAAUUCCGUCUAAUACCGCGUGACGCGGCGCCGGGGCAUCCCGGUGCCGCCAAAGGGAUUACCGGUGGCGGAUGGGCAUGCGGCGCAUUAGCUAGUCGGCGGGGUAACGGCCCACCGAGGCGACGAUGCGUAGGGGUUCUGAGAGGAAGGUCCCCCACACUGGUACUGAGACACGGACCAGACUCCUACGGGAGGCAGCAGUGAGGAAUAUUGGUCAAUGGGAGAGAUCCUGAACCAGCCAAGCCGCGUGAGGGAAGACGGCCCUAUGGGUUGUAAACCUCUUUUGUCGGAGAACAAAACCCGGGACGUGUCCCGGACUGCGUGUAUCCGAAGAAAAAGCAUCGGCUAACUCCGUGCCAGCAGCCGCGGUAAUACGGAGGAUGCGAGCGUUAUCCGGAUUUAUUGGGUUUAAAGGGAGCGUAGACGGCGACGCAAGUCUGGAGUGAAAGCCCGGGGCCCAACCCCGGGACUGCUCUGGAAACUGCGCCGCUGGAGUACGGGAGGGGCAGGCGGAAUUCCUGGUGUAGCGGUGAAAUGCGUAGAUAUCAGGAGGAACACCGGCGGCGAAGGCGGCCUGCUGGACCGUGACUGACGUUGAGGCUCGAGAGCGUGGGGAGCAAACAGGAUUAGAUACCCUGGUAGUCCACGCCGUAAACGAUGACUGCUAGGUGUCGG